rnacentral:rRNA from 2 species
UGGGGAAUAUUGGGCAAUGGGCGAAAGCCUGACCCAGCAACGCCGCGUGAAGGAAGAAGGUUUUCGGAUUGUAAACUUCUUUGAUGAGGGACGAUAAUGACGGUACCUCAAAAACAAGCCACGGCUAACUACGUGCCAGCAGCCGCGGUAAUACGUAGGUGGCAAGCGUUGUCCGGAUUUACUGGGUGUAAAGGGCGUGUAGGCGGGGAUGCAAGUCAGAUGUGAAAUUCCGGGGCUCAACCCCGGCGCUGCAUCUGAAACUGCGUUUCUUGAGUGUCGGAGGGGAAAGUGGAAUUCCUAGUGUAGCGGUGAAAUGCGUAGAUAUUAGGAGGAACACCGGUGGCGAAGGCGACUUUCUGGACGAUAACUGACGCUGAUACGCGAAAGCGUGGGGAGCAAACAGG